ACGGGUGAGUAACGCGUGGGGAUGUACCCAAAGGUUCGGAAUAACUCAGGGAAACUUGAGCUAAUACCGUAUGUGCCCGAGAGGGGAAAGAUUUAUCGCCUUUGGAUCAACCCGCGUCAGAUUAGCUAGUUGGUAGGGUAAUGGCCUACCAAGGCGACGAUCUGUAGCUGGUCUGAGAGGAUGAUCAGCCACACUGGGACUGAGACACGGCCCAGACUCCUACGGGAGGCAGCAGUGGGGAAUAUUGGACAAUGGGCGCAAGCCUGAUCCAGCCAUGCCGCGUGAGUGAUGACGGCCUUAGGGUUGUAAAGCUCUUUCGACGGGGACGAUAAUGACGGUACCCGUAGAAGAAGCCCCGGCUAACUUCGUGCCAGCAGCCGCGGUAAUACGAAGGGGGCUAGCGUUGUUCGGAAUCACUGGGCGUAAAGCGCACGUAGGCGGAUUGUUAAGUCGGGGGUGAAAUCCUGAGGCUCAACCUCAGAACUGCCUCCGAUACUGGCAAUCUCGAGUUCGGAAGAGGUUGGUGGAACAGCUAGUGUAGAGGUGAAAUUCGUAGA
rnacentral:rRNA from 1 species